GUUCUUGUAGUUGAGGAAACAACGAUGGCUUUUCAGGCCAUAGACCUUGGUUAAAUCCAAGUAAGAAUAC
rnacentral:tRNA from 2 species